AUACGGAGGACGCGAGCGUUAUCCGGAUUCAUUGGGUUUAAAGGGUGCGCAGGCGGCCGUGCAAGUCAGCGGUGAAAGCCCGGGGCUCAACCCCGGAAGUGCCGUUGAUACUGCAUGGCUGGAAUGCGGUCGAGGCGGGCGGAGAGGGGCGUGGACCGGGGGAAUGCGUAGAUAUGCCACAGAACGCCGAUAGCGGAGGCAGCUCGCCAGGCCUGCAUUGACGCUCGGGCACGAAAGCGUGGGGAUCGAACAGGAUUAGAUACCCUGGUAGUCCACGCCGUAAACGAUGGGCGCUCGUCGUCGGCGGCAGACAGUCGGCGGCCAAGCGAAAGCGAUAAGCGCCCCACCUGGGGAGUACGGUCGCAAGGCUGAAACUCAAAGGAAUUGGCGGGG
rnacentral:rRNA from 1 species